UACAGAGGUCUCAAGCGUUGUUCGGAUUUACUGGGCGUAAAGGGCGCGUAGGCGGCGUGGUAAGUCACUUGUGAAAUCUCCGAGCUUAACUCGGAACGGUCAAGUGAUACUGCUGUGCUAGAGUACAGAAGGGGCAAUCGGAAUUCUUGGUGUAGCGGUGAAAUGCGUAGAUAUCAAGAGGAACACCUGAGGUGAAGACGGGUUGCUGGGCUGAUACUGACGCUGAGGCGCGAAAGCUAGGGUAGCAAACGGG
rnacentral:rRNA from 1 species